rnacentral:rRNA from 1 species
CCUACGGGAGACAGCAGUGAGGAAUAUUGGUCAAGGGGCGCGAGCCUGAACCAGCCAAGUAGCGUGAAGGAUGACUGCCCUACGGGUUGUAAACUUCUUUUAUAAAGGAAUAAAGUGAGGCACGUGUGCCGUUUUGUAUGUACUUUAUGAAUAAGGAUCGGCUAACUCCGUGCCAGCAGCCGCGGUAAUACGGAGGAUCCGAGCGUUAUCCGGAUUUAUGGGGUUUAAAGGGAGCGUAGAUGGGUUGUUAAGUCAGUUGUGAAAGUUUGCGGCUCACCCGUAAAAUUGCAAUUGAUACUGGCAGUCUUGAGUACAGUUGAGGUAGGCGGACUUCUUGGUGUAGCGG